rnacentral:antisense_RNA from 1 species
GGAGUUUGCAGUAGCAGUUGACUGCGUUCUUGAAUGUCACCACCAAUAUGAUAGGGCAAUCCGCAGUUAGCAAAUGAGACAAAAGGGCCUCGUUCAAACAUGAUGAUUUCAGCAUCCUCACUAAGACGACGCGCUCGAGCGGCGGCAGAUGCACCACCUGCCACACCAC